ACCAGAGCCAUAUCUCCCUGCAGUUCACACCUGGUGUCCCACUGAUCCUAAGCAGGGUUGAUCCUGGCCAGUACCUGGAUGGGAGACCUCCUGGGGAAAACUAAGGUUGCUGCUGGAA
rnacentral:rRNA from 1 species